rnacentral:rRNA from 1 species
GACAUAUACAGGACGACGGCAGAGAUGUCGUUUCCCUUGUUGGCUUGUAUACAGGUGGUGCAUGGUUGUCGUCAGCUCGUGUCGUGAGAUGUUGGGUUAAGUCCCGCAACGAGCGCAACCCCUGUCUCAUGUUGCCAGCACGUGAUGGUGGGGACUCGUGAGAGACUGCCGGGGUCAACUCGGAGGAAGGUGGGGAUGACGUCAAAUCAUCAUGCCCCUUAUGUCUAGGGCUUCACACAUGCUACAAUGGCUAGUACAGAGGGCUGCGAUACCGCGAGGUGGAGCGAAUCCCUUAAAGCUGGUCUCAGUUCGGAUUGGGGUCUGCAACUCGACCCCAUGAAGUCGGAGUCGCUAGUAAUCGCAGAUCAGCAACGCUGCGGUGAAUACGUUCCCGGGCCUU